rnacentral:rRNA from 1 species
AUACGGAGGAUCCGAGCGUUAUCCGGAUUUAUUGGGUUUAAAGGGUGCGCAGGCGGCCAUUUAAGUCAGCGGUUAAAUCGUGGGGCUCAACCCCAUUCUGCCGUUGAUACUGGGUGGCUUGAUUGCGAUCGAGGUUGGCGGAAUUCGUUGUGUAGCGGUGAAAUGCAUAGAUAUGACGAAGAACACCGAUUGCGUAGGCAGCUGACCAGACCGCAAAUGACGCUCAUGCACGAAAGUGCGGGGAUCGAACAGGAUUAGAUACCCUGGUAGUCCGCACAGUAAACGAUGAAUACUUGUUUUCGGCGAUAUAAUGUCGGAGGCAAAGCGAAAGCGAUAAGUAUUCCACCUGGGGAGUACGCCGGCAACGGUGAAACUCAAAGGAAUUGACGGGG